rnacentral:rRNA from 1 species
AGGGUUCGAUUAUGGCUCAGGACGAACGCUGGCGGCGCGCCUAACACAUGCAAGUCGAACGAGAGAUGAAGAGCUUGCUCUUCAGAUCGAGUGGCGAACGGGUGAGUAACGCGUGAGGAACCUGCCUCAAAGAGGGGGACAACAGUUGGAAACGACUGCUAAUACCGCAUAAGCCCACGGCUCGGCAUCGAGCAGAGGGAAAAGGAGCAAUCCGCUUUGAGAUGGCCUCGCGUCCGAUUAGCUAGUUGGUGAGGUAACGGCCCACCAAGGCGACGAUCGGUAGCCGGACUGAGAGGUUGAACGGCCACAUUGGGACUGAGACACGGCCCAG